rnacentral:rRNA from 1 species
UACGAAGGGGGCUAGCGUUGCUCGGAAUUACUGGGCGUAAAGGGCGCGUAGGCGGAUACUUAAGUCGGGGGUGAAAGCCCGGGGCUCAACCUCGGAAUUGCCUUCGAUACUGGGUAUCUAGAGUAUGGGAGAGGUGUGUGGAACUCCGAGUGUAGAGGUGAAAUUCGUAGAUAUUCGGAAGAACACCAGUGGCGAAGGCGGCUCACUGGCCCGGUACUGACGCUGAGGUGCGAAAGCGUGGGGAGCAAACAGG